UGUUCGGUUAGUUCUAAGCCUCACUCUCUUGCCCUAGAGCUCUCUUGCUGCCGAGACACAGCUUUCCUUGCACUCCUCUCGCCGUUGAGCUUUUUUGCCCUCGAGCACUCUUCCCUUACGGCCGCCCUCGAGCUCUCUUCCUCAAGCUGCGUUCCCCAUGCCUAUUGCCCUCAAGCUCUCUUCGUCGCGCUACAUGCCCACUGUCACCCUCGCCUCUCUUUCUGGCUAAAUUGGGAAUCUUCAUUCUCGAUUUCGCGAUAUCACUUUGGUGUAUGGUCUUUCCGAUACCUGCUCUGGUCGGCAUAUCCUGGAUUUGGUAAGCUUCUUGUAAGUACUGCUUAUUUACAUCGACUUCAAUGCGAUUUGUGCUAGUUAUUGGAGUCUGAAAAUAUUGGGAUUUUUGUGUAUGUGUUAGUGGAUGCUCUACAUGGUGUACCUCUUAUCAUCUCUGGAUCUUAUUAGCUUCGUUUGACAGCAUUUGUUGCCCGAUUAAGAUCUGUUCAUUUAUCUAAAUGCUAUUAUCUGGAGUAUUUGACUGGGACUCUGUCGAGACAGAGGAACUUCGGUGAGUGUAAAAGUCAAAUAUGCUACUUGAUGCAUUGAAUAUUUGUUACAAGUAUUGGAGUCGACAGAUCAUAUAAAUUCAUGCAAACCGGUUAGCCGUAUUGAUUCUUCAUACACAAAGACAUUGGAUUUUAUGCACAUGCUGAAAGCCCAAUACACACAGAUUACCAUAGUUAUUGAAUUUCGGGGGAUCCGACGAUUUCUACUACUCGGAUGGAAGCUGAAGGUGGACCCAGAAAGCGCAGCUUGAACAUUUGUACAUAUCACCACCGAUGUAUAUAAAUUUGUUCUCAAUGUGUAAUCUUGAGUGAGAGAACACACGAUGUCAAUUAGCGUCUUCAUGUUUAGCAGUUUACAGGAUACAAUUCCUUUGUCAAGCUUAUCGAAGUCGUUGUGCCAAGACUUCACAUGAAAAGUCUUCAUCCCUUUUGUUCUCCUCCUAUGUUGUACAUGUGUUAGUAGAAGCUUGUCUGCUUCCUGUGAUGUUAGCAAUAGCAAGUAAUCUUUGUACAUUAACUUUGUAGAAUAGAAGAAGAAAAAGGAACAAUUUGAUUCUGUUCA